rnacentral:rRNA from 1 species
AUGCAGUCGAACGAUGAAGCCCAGCUUGCUGGGUGGAUUAGUGGCGAACGGGUGAGUAACACGUGAGUAACCUGCCCUUAACUCUGGGAUAAGCCUGGGAAACUGGGUCUAAUACCGGAUAGGAGCGYCYACCGCAUGGUGGGUGUUGGAAAGAUUUAUCGGUUUUGGAUGGACUCGCGGCCUAUCAGCUUGUUGGUGAGGUAAUGGCUCACCAAGGCGACGACGGGUAGCCGGCCUGAGAGGGUGACCGGCCACACUGGGACUGAGACACGGCCCAGACUCCUACGGGAGGCAGCAGUGGGGAAUAUUGCACAAUGGGCGAAAGCCUGAUGCAGCGACGCCGCGUGAGGGAUGACGGCCUUCGGGUUGUAAACCUCUUUCAGUAGGGAAGAAGCGAAAGUGACGGUACCUGCAGAAGAAGCACCGGCUAACUACGUGCCAGCAGCCGCGGUAAUACGUAGGGUGCGAGCGUUAUCCGGAAUUAUUGGGCGUAAAGAGCUCGUAGGCGGUUUGUCGCGUCUGUCGUGAAAGUCCGGGGCUUAACCCCGGAUCUGCGGUGGGUACGGGCAGACUAGAGUGCAGUAGGGGAGACUGGAAUUCCUGGUGUAGCGGUGGAAUGCGCAGAUAUCAGGAGGAACACCGAUGGCGAAGGCAGGUCUCUGGGCUGUAACUGACGCUGAGGAGCGAAAGCAUGGGGAGCGAACAGGAUUAGAUACCCUGGUAGUCCAUGCCGUAAACGUUGGGCACUAGGUGUGGGGACCAUUCCACGGUUUCCGCGCCGCAGCUAACGCAUUAAGUGCCCCGCCUGGGGAGUACGGCCGCAAGGCUAAAACUCAAAGGAAUUGACGGGGGCCCGCACAAGCGGCGGAGCAUGCGGAUUAAUUCGAUGCAACGCGAAGAACCUUACCAAGGCUUGACAUGUUCUCGAUCGCCGUAGAGAUACGGUUUCCCCUUUGGGGCGGGUUCACAGGUGGUGCAUGGUUGUCGUCAGCUCGUGUCGUGAGAUGUUGGGUUAAGUCCCGCAACGAGCGCAACCCUCGUUCCAUGUUGCCAGCACGUAAUGGUGGGGACUCAUGGGAGACUGCCGGGGUCACUCGGAGGAAGGUGAGGACGACGU